rnacentral:rRNA from 1 species
GAGAUGAGACUUCCCGGGGGCUUGACCCCCCUGAAGGGUCGUCCUAGACCAGGACGUUGAUAGGCGGGAUGUGCAAGGGCCGUAAGGCCUUGAGCUAACCCGUACUAAUUGCCCGUGCGGCUUGACCCUAUAACC